rnacentral:rRNA from 1 species
AUGGAGGACCUGGGUCAUCGGAUGCUUUCCACAUUAUAUUUUCUCAAUAAAUCCGAUGACUCCGUCUGCUCCUACAAGGCCACCGAAUUGUGCAAUGCAGCAACCAAACUGAAUAUGCACAUCAAGGGAUUCAGCAUGAAGCCGGAGCCAGAGCCAGAGCCAGAGGAGCAGCCGGGGCAGACCGAUUUGUCGAGUCUUUUCAGAAAAUAUUGUCGAUUUCCUGAUAAUUACAACAACACCUUGGCCCGGUUAGAUAUGGAGGAGCAUGAGGAGAACAAAUGUGAGGAUGUUCAUGUGAAGAAGACCAAGGAAGAGGAGGACAAGGAGAAGGAUGUAUCCUCAAAGGAGUAUCUCAAGAAAAGGAUGGACAUCGAUCAACAAUUUUUAGCCAAGCAUCGAAAAUCCUGGGAAAAUGUGUGGGGCAGCAGGAUUGGACGGUGCGGUGAAUUUAUGGAUACAAUUAACCAUAUUGAGCAGUAUGCAGUUUACACACUACACACCUGGUAG